UACGUAGGCAGCAAGCGUUGUUCGGAGUUACUGGGCGUAAAGAGUGCGUAGGUGGUGCCCUAAGUCUGUUGUGAAAUCUCCCGGCUUAACUGGGAGGGUGCGGUGGAAACUGGGGUGCUUGAGUGUGGGAGAGGUAAGCGGAAUUCCCGGUGUAGAGGUGAAAUUCGUAGAUAUCGGGAGGAACACCGGUGGCGAAGGCGGCGACCUGGGUCGAUACUGACGCUGAGGUGCGAAAGCGUGGGGAGCAAACAGG
rnacentral:rRNA from 1 species